AGAGCUUUUUUGGCCAGACCCGCACGCGGAACCCGCGCGGGCCCCUGGGGAGAGGCAGAUGGAGGAGCCUGGCUUUUUGCAGCUCUGCUCUGUUCCGCCCAUGUGAGGACCGCUCAGAUGCCCCGUGCAGUUUGUUCAAGUCCCCUGUGUGACUCGAGAUGUGCCUCUCGCCUUACCCGUGUGGGAAUACCUGUGGUAUGGCAGCGAGUAUUUUGGUGAACCCCUGCAGUGUGGUGGUUUAUACUAAGGAAUACACAGAAAUGUAUUAAACAGUUACAGGCCUUUGAGCCCAGAAUGCAACCUGGGACGCAAGACGCACCGUGCUGAGAGAUUGAGAAAUGCACACUGUUGUACCUCGAAUAACGGUUCAGUGCCGAGAGAGAUGCUAACAACAAGUGCUGGGCAUGCGGGGUAUUUGACCUGUACAAAGACGACUUGAUAUCUCUAUAAUGUAAAAAAAAAAGUCAGAAAAUAUUAAGCAAAUAGAAGUGUGGAGCAUAUUAAGCAAGAUGAAAAAAAAAGGAAGCAGUUGUGGAAGCCCUAACUCUGCAGAUAUAUCUAGUGACUUUAAGGAAAAAAAAACAAAACUAAAAGAGUGUCAUGAUAAAGAAGUACAAGCUUUGAGGUUCGGGGGGGUACAUGUGCAAGUUUAGUACAUGGGUAGAUUGCAUGUUGCUGGAGUUUGGUGUACAAAUGAUUUCAUCACCCAGGUAGUGAACAUGGUACCCCAUAAGUAGUUUUUUGAUCCCCACCCUCCUCCCACCCCACAACCCUCCACUGUCAUGUAGGUCCCGGUACCUGUUGUUCCCCUCAUUGUGUCCAUGUGUACUAAAU